rnacentral:rRNA from 1 species
AGACAGCAGUAGCCACGGGAAUACGAAGGGGGCUAGCGUUGCUCGGAAUCACUGGGCGUAAAGGGUGCGUAGGCGGGUCUUUAAGUCAGGGGUGAAAUCCUGGAGCUCAACUCCAGAACUGCCUUUGAUACUGAAGAUCUUGAGUUCGGGAGAGGUGAGUGGAACUGCGAGUGUAGAGGUGAAAUUCGUAGAUAUUCGCAAGAACACCAGUGGCGAAGGCGGCUCACUGGCCCGAUACUGACGCUGAGGCACGAAAGCGUGGGGAGCAAACAGGAUUAGAUACCCCGGUAGUCCCUGUCUCUUUACA